GGGUUGGUGAUCUAGUCCGGUUAUGAUAUCUCCUUCACACGGAGAAAGCCGGCGGUUCAAAUCCGCCCCAACCCA
rnacentral:tRNA from 4 species